rnacentral:tRNA from 1 species
UCCCCCAUAGCUCAGUUGGUUAGAGCAGUGGACUGUUAAUCCAUGUGUCGCUGGUUCAAGUCCAGCUGGGGGAGCCA